rnacentral:ncRNA from 2 species
CAUUGUUCUCAGGGCGGGGUGCGAUUCCCCACCGGCGGUAAAGGCAGCGAUGCCAAGCCCGCGAGCGCCCGGCGAAAGCCGGGGUCAGCAGAUCCGGUGUAACUCCGGAGCCGACGGUAUAGUCCGGAUGAAAGAGAACGGGA